UACGUAGGGGGCAAGCGUUGUCCGGAUUUAUUGGGCGUAAAGCGCUCGCAGGUGGUUCGAUGCGUCGUGCGUGAAAGACCCCGGCUCAACUGGGGAGGGUCGUGCGAUACGGUCGAACUGGAGGCCAGUAGGGGGAUGCGGAAUUCCGGGUGUAGUGGUGGAAUGCGUAGAGAUCGGGAGGAACACCAGUGGCGAAAGCGGCUCUCUGGUCCAAAACUGACGCUGAGGGGCGAAAGCGUGGGGAGCGAACGGG
rnacentral:rRNA from 1 species